rnacentral:lncRNA from 1 species
CUCGCCCUCCUCCCCAACAAGGCCGCCGCCGCCGCAGGCAGUAACAAGUCCCCCACGAAGUCCGCCGCGAAGUCGCCGAAGUAGUGUCUUGUCUCACGUUCACCCCGUCCUAUACACUGUGGUUGUGGAUGUCGACUUUUGCCGUUUUGGAAGUGUGUAGUGAUGCGUCGCCUGCGAUUAACCUAAGUUCUAGUUAAAUUUCUAGCUCUAGUGCUGCUUGGUAAUGGGGUCUGCAUGCAAUAUGGUGUUCACAUGUGAUGAUACAAAAAUGUCAAACUCAGACAUAGAUAAAGUGAAAUUGUUUCUCCUUUUGUAUUUCCUUACAAAUUGGGUAUUACAGAAACUUAGGUUAAAAUUAUUCACUUUGAGUUAUUCCGAACCAAGCACCUAAUAAUAACUUAGAUUAUACAGAACAAUCAAGUCGCAUGGCUAACGCCUAGUCAGCGUUUGAACUUCGGACAGUGAGUUAUUCCGAAGUCCGUGGCCUUCUCGAUGAGGUUGGUGAGCGAGUGCUCGUACUCGAAUUCAGUGAGGUCGCACAACAUCUUCCCAGCAUCCCCUCCCGCUGUCGCCCCGUGUUCUGUUCUAUAGCUAGAAAUACGGUGGCGAUGUGCCUUGUACAAGAUGCAAAGGCGUCAACGUUUUUGUUUGUUACUUUGCUGUUUUUUGAAAUUGACGGGACCUGAACAUUGUCUAGUCAUGAGAACACAAAUCAUCCGCAGAUUAUUGCCCCGAAAUUUGUAUUGCUCACUGUCUGGGAGAGUUUGUCCAGCAUUCCACUUGAAGCAAAUUGGUUGCAUAUUUGAAUCCUCAACCCAAUCUGCACACGUGUCUAUCUACAAUUGACCUGGUACAACAAUUCAACAACGACGCUAAGUCACUAGUUUAACUACAUUUCAGAUACACCAAUACAGCAUCAAAGCAGCACAAUACUACAGAUGUGCUGUUGGGCACAUAUGUAUUGUAUGCAGCCUGAAGAUUUUGGUCGGAUGUGCCUGUCAAUCUACCAAUUUCGUCAUAAAUGGACACAGAUGCAACAUGUAUGCAGCCAUCACUUCGUUUGGUAACGCUAGCACCCAUAUCACAGAUGUUUGCAAAACAUGAUAGGAUGCAAAUCUUACUUAUUAUGGAAUGAUAAGAGAGAAUUAGUUCAGCAUCAAAUAAAGCAAGGCACUUCUUCCCAUUAAACUUCACAUGGAAUGGAGACCCCAUUACCAAGCAACACUAGAGCUAGAAAUUUAACUAGAACUUAGGUCAAUCGCAGGCGACACAUCACUACACACUUGCAAAACGGCAAAAGUCAACAUCCACAACCACAGUGUAUAGCACGGGGUGAACGUGAGACGAGACACUACUUCGGCUACUUCGCGGCGGCCUUCGUGGGGGACUUGCUGCUGCCUGCGGCGGCGACGACCUUGUUGGGGAGGAGGGCGGGGUUGAUGUUGGACAACACACCAUCGUGCGUGAUGGUGACCUCGACAAGCAGAUUGCCGAGCUCCUCGUCCUUGCGGAUGGCCAGGAGGAGGUAGCGCGGGACGAUGCGGCCCCUCUUGCUGUCACGCGCCGCGGCACCCGCCAGCUCCAUGACCUCGGCGGCGAGGUACUCGAGGACGCUGGCAAGGAACACGGGCGCGCCCCUACCGACGCGUUGCCCGUACUGACCUUCCUUCAGGUACCACCUGAUGCGCCCAACUGGAACUGGAGCCCGGCCUUGACAGUUCGCGACACCGCAUUCUUCUUUGGCCCGCCGCCCAGCUUCCGCCCAAACGCAAACUUCUCCACCACCGCGCUGCCGUCCUCCAUCCCCCGAGAGCCUAGGGUGCACGUCUGCUCUAAUGUGGAGGCAAAGGGAAUUGUGAUUUGGAUUCGAAAUCGGAAUGCAGCGGAGGAAUGUUUUUAUAGCGGCGGGACGGGGAUGGUGUGGGGGACCGAUCCGCGGGACGUGAGCUUGACGCCGUUGGAUUUGAGGGGAAGGGGACGACCAGGAUUUGUUUUCGAGAGCACGAUCCGUUGGAUCGGGCAGUGAGGAACGAGAGCUUUUAUAGCUGUAUUUGGGAGAUCCCUUGGGUCGGUAGCUUGCAUGGCCCGUGGGCCGUCGGACGACAGUGGUCUAUACGCUGCGCGACUUUAGGACAAUUUAAAAAUGAUUGUAUUUUAUAUAAUUUAUGGCAACAACAAAACAUUCCGCUCCAACAGUAAAGCUCCCAAUCUAGAUUAUAGGGCAGCCCACUACGGUGUAGUAUAUUUGAGACACUUGAGAUGAUGCUUGUAACACCCGUGGUGUUAAUAGAAACUAAAACCCGACAUGGCAUCAUAUGCAUUGACAUCUUUGUGUUGUAAUACACUUAAAAUGUAUUCACUAAGACCAAAAAAAACUUUAAGUGAGAUAUGGUGAUGGAUAGAGAGUCGAAAAUCUAGUAUGAAAAACUCUAGUUUUGGUCCAAAUAUCAAAGUUAUAGGGUUUUCCAAACCAAGCAACUUUCAUGUGCACAGAUUUCCAAGUUUAAAGGAAAAAAUGGAGAAAAAUUCAAAACUAAGUCUUGACCUAGGGUUUGAAAUUCUGAAAUUUUUAUCAGCGAGCUCUCUUUAAGCCUUUUUAACUUUUAAUCCGUAGAUAGUUUGAAAAUGGUCGCUGUAACAAAGUUGUAGAGUUGCACUAGGUGCACAAACUUGAUUAAAUCACUUAACCCUAAAUCCAUAUGUGUUAGGGACCAUAAUUAGGGGUACCCUCAAGACGCCUAAUUCUCAGCUGGUAACCACCAUCAGCAUAAAGCUGCAGAGGCCUGAUGGGUGCGAUUAAGUCAGGGAUCAGUCCAUACGAGCGACUCGAUCACGCCUCGCCCGAGCCUAGCCUCGGACAAGGGCAGCCGACCCCGAGGGAUUUCCGUCUCGCCCGAGGCCCCCCUCCAACGGCGGACACAUCUCCAGCUCGCCCGAGGCCUUGCCUUCGCUAAGAAGCAACCCUGACUAAAUCGCCGCGCCGACCGACCGAGUCGCAGGAGCAUUUAACGCAAAGGUGGCCUGACACCUUUAUCCUGACGCGCGCCCCCCGGCAGAGCCGAAGUGACCGCCGUCACUUCGCCGCUCCACUGACCGGUCUGACAGAAGGACAGCGCCGCCUGCGCCACUCCGACUGCAGUGCCACUUGACAGAGUGAGACUGACAGGCAGUCAGGCCCUGCCAAAGGCGCCAUAGGAAACUCCGCUCCGCCCGACCCAGAGCUCGGACUCGGGCUAAGCCCGGAAGACGGCGAACUCCGCUCCGCCCGACCCAGGGCUCGGACUCGGGCUAGGCCCCGGAAGAUGGCGAACUCCGCUCCGCCCGACCCAGGGCUCGGACUCGGGCUAGGCCCCGGAAGACGGCGAACUCCGCUCCGCCCGACCCAGGGCUCGGACUCGGGCUAAGCCCCGGAAGGCGGCGAACUCCGCUCCGCCCGACCCAGGGCUCGGCGAACUCCGCUCCGCCCGACCCAGGGCUCGGACUCGGGCUAAGCCCCGGAAGACGGCGAACUCCGCUCCGCCCGACCCCGGGCUCGGACUCGGGCUAGGCCCCGGAAGACGGCGAACUCCGCUCCGCCCGACCCAGGGCUCGGACUCGGGCUAGGCCCCGGAAGACGACGAACUCCGCUUCGCCCGACCCCAGGGCUCGGACUCCGCCCUGGCCUCUGCCGAACGACCUCCGCCUCGCCCGACCCAGGGGCUCGGGCUCGGCCUCAGCAAUGGAAGACAGACUCGACCUCGGCUUCGGAGGAGCCUCCACGUCUCCCGACCUAGGGCGCAGGCCAGCCAGGUCAACAGGAAGCGCCAUCAUCACCCUACCCCGAGCCGACUCGGGCCGCAGAGAACAAGACCGACGUCCCAUCUGGCUAGCUUCGCCAGAUAGGCAAUGAUGGCGCCCCGCAAGCCCUAUGACGACGGCGACUCUCAGCUCUCUUACGGAAGCAGGAGGACGUCAGCACGGACUCAACCGCUCCGACAACUCACCCUCCGCCAGGCUCCGUUGCUCCUCCGACAGCCACGACAUCACACCAGCUGGGUGCCAAGAUCUCUCCGGCUGCCACAUUGGCAUGUACUUAGGGUGCUAGCUCUCCCCCGCUAGACACGUAGCACUCUGCUACACCCCCAUUGUACACCUGGAUCCUCUCCUUACGCCUAUAAAAGGAAGGACCAGGGCCCUCUUAGAGAGGGUUGGCCGCGCGGGGACGAGGACGAGACAGGCGCUCUCUUGGGGCCUGCUGCGUGUUGACGAACAGCUUCCCGUCAAGCAACCUCUCCGGCCCGGGACGGUGCUCCGUUUCGGGAGUCUUGAGUUCAUGUCCUUCGACGGCAGCUACGACAUGAUACUCCUUCCACCGCCGCGCGACAACGACAAUGGCGGCCGACAACCCGCCCGCCGGCGGCGGAAUCGACGACAUCUUCCCCGCGUGGUGGAAGAACAACAUUCGAGCUCGCCCCGUCCUCUCCCCCGCCAACGAAGGAGGAGGCGGGGCAACCAAGGCCAAGCGGGAGGCCGCGCUUUGUCGGCUGUCGAGCGAAUCGACGUCCCCAGCGCCCCAACGGGGGGCGCGUCAGGCGUCGACCUCGCGUUUGAGACGAAGGCGGGCGCCGUCCCCCCGCGACACGCCAAUCCCGAGUAAGUGGACGACGCCAGCGCGCUCGCGGAGAGCUUGCAGGACGUCGCCCUCGUACCUGAGACGACAGCGCAAUCAGUCCCCGACGUGACUAUGUCGCUCCUCGUCGACCAAAAGGUACCGACUGAUUCCCAUCCUACGUCAUUUCGACUCAGCCUCAACCCGCCUAGCGACCUUGCUUUGGCGGGCGCUCUCGUUGAGGCGAGUGCAACCCCUCUUGGGUUUCGCACGCGGUCGCCUUGGGACCGGUUGACGGACGUCUCGACCUAUGAGCCCUCUGGGUCCGAGGAAGAUGACGAUCCCAGCAUCUGUUGGGAUUUCUCUGGAUUUGGCAACCCCGGUGCCAUGCGGGACUUUAUGAGCGCAUGUGACUACUGCCUCUCCGACUGUUCCGACGGUAGCCGCAGCCUCGACGACGAGGACUACGGCCCAAGCCGCGAAUGUUUCCACGUCGGGCUAGGGGAUCCCUCCGAAGGCAACCAUCUCCGCAUGCUGGAGGAUGGUGAUCUCCCUAGGCCGGUGCCUCGCGCAGACAUCCCACGGGAGCUAGCUGUGGUCCCCGUUCCGGCAGGAGGUCACGACCCACAGCUAGAGCAAGUCCGCGGGGCGCAGGCCAGGCUCGACGAGGGAGCAGGCGCGCUUGAGCCGAUCCACCGGGACGUCGGGCAGGUAUGGGCGGGCCAACCCCCGACCGGAGAAGUACGUCACCUGCCCCAGGGUUUCCAGCACCGCGUCACCAACGACGUCAGGGUCAGGCCGCCACCCGCAUCCAGUGGGGUCGGUCAGAACCUGGCAGCCGCAGCGAUGCUCCUCCGCGCGAUGCUGGAGCCAUCAACCACCGAGGGUCGGCGAAUCCAGGGAGAGCUCAAGAAUCUCCUGGAAGGCGCUGCGGUCCGACGGGCCGAGAGCUCUGCCUCCCGAAGGCAGGGAUACCCCUCAGAACCUCAUGCCGCGACUUCCCGAUUCAUGCGUCUGUGCAAGGACAGAGCGAGCUGGUGCUCGGUCGGACAGAACGAAGGAUUAUCCAUACUAGGAUUUUGAUUUGUUUAGCGUCACUCGGAAAAUAAUUCCUCGCACCCAAUUAGGAAUAAAAUGAAUUGAGAUCGAUUGGUUUCGGAUUCAUGUUCCUUGCUCAAUCGGGUUGGGUUAAUAAAAAUCAUUGUCGCUGUCGAUUUUUGAAUUUCGGAUCGAACGCAGAGGUAUUAAGCCGAGUCGGAUAAAAUUGAUUAGUGGACGACAUAUUGAGUAUUCCGUUUGAGAGUACCGACUCGGAUUAAAAUAGUCGGACAUCGAUCGAGGUUCGAGGAGUCGGACUCGGGCACAGAUCAAUUAACAAUAGUCGAGAGUUUGAUUAAAUGGGCUUUAGAUGAGAUUUACAAGUCGAGAAUGAUUUUCGAGUUUGCAUUCGCGCUGAGAAUAGAAGUUUUAACAGGCUCCAAAUUCGGCCUUCUGUGAGAUUGAAUAACUUUGAAUUCGUUGAAAUGUGAAUGAAUAGUAUGGAUAAUCAGAGACAUACGCAAGCGAGAAAUAGAAAUUUUCACUGAGCAUCCGAGAUUAGGAUGAAUCUCCCGUCAUAACACGAAAUAGACACCUGAGUGUCACAGUAUCCCUUGAAUAGAGGGGAUUAUAGGAAACCUAGAAUCACAAAAGGUUAUUAAAUAGCCCAAUGAGGUUUUCAUCUACUAGUUUUACUCUAAUACCCUCUCGUGCUAAUAUAGUGCCCUUAACAUCAGGGAAACGUCAUUUGUGAUUUAAAAUGUGAUCUAUUGUAUUUAAUUCUUUAUAUUCCAACUUUUAGCAACUGUAUGGUGGAAAAAACGUGCCUUACAACCUUAACCUAUGUUUGGACACUUCUAUCACGCAAUUUGGCUAAAUUUUGCAUGAUCUUUAUUUUAUUUGAGAAAUAAUGUGGCAAAUUGAUGUGUGGUGUUUUGCUUGAGUGGACAUAAAUAGAGGGGAUUAUAGGAAACCUAUUAUCACAAAAGGUCAUUAACUAGCCUUCUAACGUCUUCAUCCACUAGUUGUACUCUAAUACCCUCUCAUACAGUGUUCUUAAGGCGUCGCCUAGGCGUCGCCUAGGCGACGCCUAGGCGUCCAGGCGCCCGGGCAAAACUGCCCGCCUUGCUCGCCAUACCCGCCUAGGCGUCGCCUAGGCGCCGCCUAGGCGCUAAGGCGGUUUUCUGGUCCACCUGCUCGCCUAGGCGCCUUAAGAACACUGCUCUCAUACGAAUUCAAUGCCCUCAACAUCAUAGAAAACACUAUUUUAAGUUUCAAAGUUAAUAUAUUCUUUUGAAUUCUUUAUAUUCCAACUUUUUAGGAACUGUAUGGUGGAAAAAAGGUGCCUUACAACCUUAACAUAUGUUUGGACAGAUCUCUUACGUAAUUUGGCUAAAUUUCUCAUGGUCUAUAUUUUAUUUUGAGAAACGACGUGUCAUAAUAAUGUGUGGUAUUUUACUUGAGUGGACAUAAACGCCAUCUAGGUAUGCCUUGAAUAGAAGGGAUUAUAGGAAACCUGGUAUCACAAAAUGUCAUUAGCUAGCCCAAUAUCGUAGAAACGUCAUUUGAGGUUUAUAAGGUGAUAUAUUGUUUUGAAUUCUUUAUAGUCCAACCGACCAUUUCUAGUUUAAAAAUCGUAGGUGUUAAGAUUCGAUAUUAUUGAAAAUGGUCAUUCAUGUCUAUUUUCGACAAAAAUAGGGUUAUGUAGCCAUUGAUCAUCGACCAGAGGCUCGUACACCUCAUCCCACAUAUGUUUACUUGUCAUAGAUCACAUUUUUUGAUUUCUGGUGGAGACCAUUUGUUAAUAAAAAAUCCCUAAGUGUUAUCAUUCGGUAUUAUUGAAAAUAACCGUUAAUGCUAUUUUCGAAAAAAUGGGGGUUGUGUGACCAUUGAACAAUAACUAGAGCCUCAUACACCUGACCGACAUAUGUUUUCUUGCUAUAGAUCACUUUCUUGAAUUUUUGAUGGUGACCAUUUCUUGGUUAAUAAUUCGUAGGUGUUAUUCAUCGGUAUUAUUGAAAAUGGUCGUUUAUGUUAUUUUCAUAAAAAAUAUGAGUUGUGUGGCCAUUGAUCAUCGAUCAGAGGCUUAUUCACGUCACUCCACAUAUGACAUUCUUAGAUUUCUAGACAAGUCCAAUUCUUGGUAAAAAAUCUGUAGGUUUUAUUCUUUAGAUUUAUUAAAACAGUCAUUAAUGGCUAUUUUCGAAAAAAUAGGGGUUGGGUGGCCAUUGGUCAUCAACUAGAGGCUCGUACACCUCACCCCAAAUACGUUUUCUUGCAAUAUAUCACAUUCUUAGAUUUUUAUUGGAGACCAUUUUUGGUAAAAAAAUGUCGGUGUUAUCUUUCAGUAUUAUUAAAAAUGGUCGUUAAUACUAUUUUUAACAUAAAUAGGUGUUGUGUGACCAUUGAUAAUUGACCAAAGGCUCGUAUAUCUCAUCUCACAUAUAUUUUCUUCCAAUAGAUCACAUGCUUCGAUUUCUGGUAUAGACCAAUUCUUGGUCAAAAAUGCGUAUGUGCUAUCUUUCGGUAUUAUUGAAAAUAAUCGUUAAUGACUAUUUUUGACAAAAAUGAGGUUGUGUGGCCUUUGAUUAAUGACCAGAGACUCGUACACCUACCAUAGAUCACAUUCUUGUAUUUCUAGUGUUGACCAUUUGUCGGUUAAAAAUCCAUAUGUGUUAGCAUUUAGUAUUAUUGAAAAUGAUCGUUCAUGUUAUUUUCAACAAAAAUAGCUGUUGUGUGGCUAUUGAUUAUCGACUAAAGGCUCAUACACAUCACCUCAAAUAUUUUCCUUGCCAUAAAUCACAUUCUGUUGGACACCAUUUUUAUGUGGUACCAAGUCCCCCAACCUUAAACACACUUAAAUCCUAAUAGAUAAUCUACUACUUUUCUAUAAAAGGUAUGACUUAAUACUCCAAGGAUUAAACACCAGAGUACUCCAAAGUUGAGCUAAACACACAAAAUAAGUCUUCUGAAUUGGUGCUAAGUUUGAACUUCCAGACUAUGAAACCUUGAAUCUUUAGACCACUGUUACUGCCAGUUUCAUAUGGAUUUAGGGUUAAGUGAUUUAAUAAAGUUUGUGCACCUGAUGCAACUCUAUAAUUUUGUUACAUCGACCAUUUUCAAACUAUCUACAGAUCAAAAGUUAUAAAGGCCUGAAGAGAGCUCGCUGAUAAGAAAUUUCAGAAUUCCAAACCCAGGUCAAGACUUAGUUUUGAGUUUUUUUCUAUUUUUUCCUAUGAAACUUGGAAAUCUCUACACAUGAAAGUUGCUUGGUUUGAAAAUCCAUAUAACUUUGAUAUUUUGACUUUUGGCAAAAUAUUAUCAGAUCACAAAUUUCAUCUUUUGGACCAAAACUAGAGUUUUUUAAACUAGGUUUUUUACUUUUUAUCCAUCACCACAUUGCAUUUAAUUUUUUUUGGUUCUAGUGAAUACAUUUUAAGUGUAUUAGAACACAAAGAUACCAAUGCAUAUGAUGACAUGCCAGGUUUUAGUUUCCAUUAACAACAGGGGUGUUACAAGCACCAUCUCAAGUGUCUCAAAUAUACUACACCGUAGUGGGUUUGCCAUAUAAUCUAGAUUUCGAGCUUUACUGUUGGAGCGGGGUGUUUUGUUGCCCUAAAUUAUAUAAAUUACAAUUAUUUUUAAUUUCUCUUAAAGUCGCGCAGCGUAUAGACUACUGUCGUCCGACGGCCCACGAGCAAUGCAAGCUACGAACCCAAGGGAUCUCCCAAAUAAAGUUGUGAAAGCUCUCGUUACUCACCGCCCGAUCCAACGGAUCGUGCUCUCGAAAACAAAUCUUGGUCGUCCCCUUCCCCUCAAAUCCAACGGCGUCAAGCUCACGUCCCGCAGAUCGGCUCCUCGCACCAUCCCCGCCCCGCCGCUAUAAAAACACUCAUCUGUUGCAUUUCGAUUCCGAACCCAAAUCAUCAUUCCCUUUGCCUUCACAUCAGAGUAGACGCGCACCCUAGGCUCUCGGGAGAUGGAGGACAGUAGCGCGGUGGUGGAGAAGUUGGCGUUUGGGCGAAAGCUAGGCGGCGAGCCAAAGAAGAAGGCGGUGUCGCGGUCUGUCAAGGCUGAGCUCCAGUUUCUAGUUGGGCGCAUCAGGCGGUACCUUAAGGAAGGUCAGUACGCGCAGCGCGUCGGCAGGGGCGCGCCCGUGUUCUUUGCCAGCGUCCUUGAGUACCUCGCCGCCGAGGUCCUGUAGCUGGCGGGCGCCGCGACGCGCAAUAGUAAGAGGGGCCGCAUCGUCCCGCGCCACCUCCUCCUCGCCAUUCGUAAGGACGAGGAGCUCGGCAAGCUGCUUGCCGGGGUCACCAUCGCGCACGGCGGUGUGCUGCUCAACAUCAACCUCGCCCUCCUCCCCAACAAGGCCGCCGCCGCCGCAGGCAGUAACAAGUCCCCCACGAAGUCCGCCGCGAAGUCGCCGAAGUAGUGUCUUGUCUCACGUUCACCCCGUCCUAUACACUGUGGUUGUGGAUGUCGACUUUUGCCGUUUUGGAAGUGUGUAGUGAUGCGUCGCCUGCGAUUAACCUAAGUUCUAGUUAAAUUUCUAGCUCUAGUGCUGCUUGGUAAUGGGGUCUGCAUGCAAUAUGGUGUUCACAUGUGAUGAUACAAAAAUGUCAAACUCAGACAUAGAUAAAGUGAAAUUGUUUCUCCUUUUGUAUUUCCUUACAAAUUGGGUAUUACAGAAACUUAGGUUAAAAUUAUUCACUUUGAGUUAUUCCGAACCAAGCACCUAAUAAUAACUUAGAUUAUACAGAACAAUCAAGUCGCAUGGCUAACGCCUAGUCAGCGUUUGAACUUCGGACAGUGAGUUAUUCCGAAGUCCGUGGCCUUCUCGAUGAGGUUGGUGAGCGAGUGCUCGUACUCGAAUUCAGUGAGGUCGCACAACAUCUUCCCAGCAUCCCCUCCCGCUGUCGCCCCGUGUUCUGUUCUAUAGCUAGAAAUACGGUGGCGAUGUGCCUUGUACAAGAUGCAAAGGCGUCAACGUUUUUGUUUGUUACUUUGCUGUUUUUUGAAAUUGACGGGACCUGAACAUUGUCUAGUCAUGAGAACACAAAUCAUCCGCAGAUUAUUGCCCCGAAAUUUGUAUUGCUCACUGUCUGGGAGAGUUUGUCCAGCAUUCCACUUGAAGCAAAUUGGUUGCAUAUUUGAAUCCUCAACCCAAUCUGCACACGUGUCUAUCUACAAUUGACCUGGUACAACAAUUCAACAACGACGCUAAGUCACUAGUUUAACUACAUUUCAGAUACACCAAUACAGCAUCAAAGCAGCACAAUACUACAGAUGUGCUGUUGGGCACAUAUGUAUUGUAUGCAGCCUGAAGAUUUUGGUCGGAUGUGCCUGUCAAUCUACCAAUUUCGUCAUAAAUGGACACAGAUGCAACAUGUAUGCAGCCAUCACUUCGUUUGGUAACGCUAGCACCCAUAUCACAGAUGUUUGCAAAACAUGAUAGGAUGCAAAUCUUACUUAUUAUGGAAUGAUAAGAGAGAAUUAGUUCAGCAUCAAAUAAAGCAAGGCACUUCUUCCCAUUAAACUUCACAUGGAAUGGAGACCCCAUUACCAAGCAACACUAGAGCUAGAAAUUUAACUAGAACUUAGGUCAAUCGCAGACGACACAUCACUACACACUUGCAAAACGGCAAAAGUCAACAUCCACAACCACAGUGUAUAGCACGGGGUGAACGUGAGACGAGACACUACUUCGG